rnacentral:rRNA from 1 species
UGAAUACGAGAUGCUAAGGCGUCGAAGUAGUGUAUGUCAUGCUUCCAAGAAAAGCUUGCAAUGUCAUAAAUAAAAAUGCCUGUACCAUAACCGACACAGGUGGGUAAGUAGAGUAUACUAAGGGGCGCGAGAUAACUCUCUCUAAGGAACUCGGCAAAAUAACUCCGUAACUUCGGGAGAAGGAGUGCCUUAUUCUUAAGGUUGCAAUAACAAGAUCCAAGCAACUGUUUAUCAAAAACACAGGUCUCCGCUAAGUCGUAAGACGAUGUAUGGGGGCUGACGCCUGCCCAGUGCCAGAAGGUUAAAGAAGUCGGUUAGCAAUUGCGAAGCUGGUAACUGAAGCCCUGGUGAACGGCGGCCGUAACAAUAACGGUCCUAAGGUAGCGAAAUUCCUUGUCGGGUAAGUUCCGACCCGCACGAAAGGCGUAAUGAUUUGGAUGCUGUCUCGGAGAGGGGCUCGGUGAAAUAGACUUGUCUGUGAAGAUGCGGACUACCUGCACCAGGACAGAAAGACCCUAUGAAGCUUUACUGUAACUUGAAAUUGAAAUUGGACUUUAUUCGCGCAGUAUAGGUGGGAGGCGUUGAUUAUAAUCUUGCGGGAUUAUCGGAGCCAUCAGUGAGAUACCACUCUUCUAAUGUUAGAUUUCUAACUUUGAAUCAUUAUCUGGUCAAAGGACAAUUUCAGGCGGGCAGUUUGACUGGGGCGGUCGCCUCCUAAAUGGUAACGGAGGCGUACAAAGGUUUCCUCUGAACGGUUAGAAAUCGUAUCUAGAGUGUAAAGGCAUAAGGAAGCUUGACUGUGAGACCUACAAGUCGAGCAGGGACGAAAGUCGGUCUUAGUGAUCUGACGGUACUGAGUGGAAAGGCCGUCACUCAACGGAUAAAAGUUACUCUAAGGAUAACAGGCUGAUCUCCCCCAAGAGUUCACAUCGACGGGGAGGUUUGGCACCUCGAUGUCGGCUCAUCGCAUCCUGGGGCGGUAGUACGUCCCAAGGGUUGGGCUGUUCGCCCAUGAAAGCGGUACGCGAGCUGGGUUCAGAACGUCGUGAGACAGUUCGGUCCAUAUCCGGUGUAGGCGUUAGAAUAUUGAGAGGAGCCUUCUUUAGUACGAGAGGACCGAGAAGGACAUACCUCUGGUGUACCAGUUAUCGUGCCAACGGUAAACGCUGGGUAGCUAUGUAUGGAGUGGAUAACCGCUGAAAGCAUCUAAGUGGGAAGCCCACCUCAAGAUAAGUAUUCUC